GACGAACGCUGGCGGCGUGCUUAACACAUGCAAGUCGAACGGAAAGGCCCUGCUUUUGUGGGGUGCUCGAGUGGCGAACGGGUGAGUAGCACGUGAGUAACCUGCCCUUGACUUUGGGAUAACUUCAGGAAACUGGGGCUAAUACCGGAUAGGAGCUCCUGCUGCAUGGUGGGGGUUGGAAAGUUUCGGCGGUUGGGGAAGGACUCGCGGCUUAUCAGCUUGUUGGUGGGGUAGUGGCUUACCAAGGCUUUGACGGGUAGCCGGCCUGAGAGGGUGACCGGCCACAUUGGGACUGAGAUACGGCCCAGACUCCUACGGGAGGCAGCAGUGGGGAAUAUUGCACAAUGGGCGGAAGCCUGAUGCAGCAACGCCGCGUGCGGGAUGACGGCCUUCGGGUUGUAAACCGCUUUCGCCUGUGACGAAGCGUGAGUGACGGUAAUGGGUAAAGAAGCACCGGCUAACUACGUG
rnacentral:rRNA from 1 species